rnacentral:rRNA from 1 species
AUGAACGCUGGCGGCGUGCCUCAUCCAUGCAAGUCGCGCGAACAGACGAGGAGCUUGCUCCUCUGACGUUAGCGGCGGACGGGUGAGUAACACGUGGAUAACCUACCUAUAAGACUGGGAUAACUUCGGGAAACCGGAGCUAAUACCGGAUAAUAUAUUGAACCGCAUGGUUCAAUAGUGAAAGACGGUUUUGCUGUCACUUAUAGAUGGAUCCGCGCCGCAUUAGCUAGUUGGUAAGGUAACGGCUUACCAAGGCAACGAUGCGUAGCCGACCUGAGAGGGUGAUCGGCCACACUGGAACUGAGACACGGUCCAGACUCCUACGGGAGGCAGCAGUAGGGAAUCUUCCGCAAUGGGCGAAAGCCUGACGGAGCAACGCCGCGUGAGUGAUGAAGGUCUUCGGAUCGUAAAACUCUGUUAUUAGGGAAGAACAAAUGUGUAAGUAACUAUGCACGUCUUGACGGUACCUAAUCAGAAAGCCACGGCUAACUAUGUG